GAGUUUGAUCGUGGCUCAGGACGAACGCUGGCGGCGUGGAUUAGGCAUGCAAGUCGAGCGACAGAUAAGACUUCGGUUUUAUUAUGGAGCGGCGAACGGGUGAGUAACACGUGAACAACCUGCCCUUACAUUCUGGAUAAUUCACCGAAAGGUGUUGUAAUACAGGGGAGGGUCCUUGAGAGGCAUUUCUCGAGGAAGGAAGGCGCAAGCCGUGCAAGGAGGGGUUCGCGGAUUAUCAGGUAGUUGGUGGGGUAACGGCCUACCAAGCCGACGACGAUUAGCUGGUCUGAGAGGAUGGUCAGCCACAUUGGGACUGAGACACUGCCCAGACUCCUACGGGAGGCUGCAGCCGAGAAUCUUGCACAAUGUACGAAAGUAUGAUGCAGCGACGCCGCGUGAAGGAUGAAGGCCCUCUGGGUCGUAAACUUCUUUUAUCGGGGAAGAAUAAAUGACGGUACCGAUGAAUAAGCCACGGCUAACUACGUGCCAGCAGCCGCGGUAAG
rnacentral:rRNA from 1 species